ensembl:processed_transcript Gm20033 predicted gene, 20033
CGGCCGCUCGCGGGGUGCGCCGGGGGCUCCGAUGGGAACCGAGCGCUGGGGGCCCGGGACCACACAGGUGAGCCCCGCCCGCGGGCUCCCAAUCCACCGAGUUCCCCUAUCCCACGAUCCCGCCCGCCAUCCCCUCCCCCUCGCUCCUCCACCCCAGCUCCGAAGCACUUUCCCAAGCCCGAAGGAGCCCUCGCUGCACCCCGAACCCGUUCUCCGCGUCCUGCUUUCUCCGAAGGGAAAAAAAAAAGGAGAGAAAGAGAGAGAAGCAAGCAGAUGCGGCGCAAAGCGGGGCGCAGGACGGCAAGGGGCCGCUUCCAGCCUGGAGGGACUUUUCUUGGAAAGGUGGAGACCCCCGGAGGAGUGCGACUCCCCAAGGGCCCGAUGCUCUGGAGCGAAAAGGCGUUCGCUGGUCAGCCUUGCUGCCAGAAAAUUUAGCAAACUUCGGGCAGAUCCUCCCACCUGGGGCGAGAGCUCUGGCUGGCCUGGGGCUCAGCCCCGGGACCUUUCCUUUCACACUUUAAGAGCCUCAAGGCACUUUUUCCGUGGAAACCAGGCCAGCGCGAGGACAACUU